ensembl:snRNA U1 U1 spliceosomal RNA
AUACUCAGCAGGCAGGGGGAGCUACCAGGACUGUGAAGGUAGUUUACCAGGGUAAGGCUUAUCCAUUGUACUCCCAAUGUGUUGUUCCUGGUGAUUUUCCCCAAAGUGGGAAAGUUGACUGUAUAAUUUUGGUAGUGGGGUGUGGACUGUGUUCAUGCUCUCC